rnacentral:pre_miRNA from 1 species
UGUAAAAAUUUUCAUUCAUUUGUAUGGUUAAAAAUUAGUGUGGUUGACAAAAUAAUCAAACAAUGAUACAUGACGACUUAUGUAUAUCUUAUGCUGACAUAUAAGGACCAAUUUUUAAUAGCAAAAAAUGGAUGAAAUUUUGAAUA